rnacentral:misc_RNA from 1 species
GAUGAGGAACGCAGCGAAAUGCGAUAAGUAAUGUGAAUUGCAGAAUUCAGUGAAUCAUCGAAUCUUUGAACGCACAUUGCGCCCGCCAGUAUUCUGGCGGGCAUGCCUGUCCGAGCGUCAUUUCAACCCUCGAACCCCUCCGGGGGGUCGGCGUUGGGGAUCGGCCCUGCCUCUUGGCGGUGGCCGUCUCCGAAAUACAGUGGCGGUCUCGCCGCAGCCUCUCCUGCGCAGUAGUUUGCACACUCGCAUCGGGAGCGCGGCGCGUCCACAGCCGUUAAACACCCUACUUCUGAAAUGUUGACCUCGGAUCAGGUAGGAAUACCCGCUGAACUUAAGCAUAUCAAUAAGCGGAGGA